rnacentral:misc_RNA from 1 species
CUAUAAGAUUCUUAUACCGUUUUUUCGGCUCUUGUUGUGGUUGCCUUUCCCUCUUAUUUAGGUUUUGCUAGUGCUUCGCUUGUCGUUGUUGCCCUGAUGGGGAGGAAGAGGCCUCGCGGCGUGGCAUCUUGAUUCCGUACCUCCCACUCUCUCUCGGUGGGAAGAAGCCAUGCACUAUCCCCUCCCCUAUCCCCUGCCAAAUGCCGAGCCACCUCUGGCGCUGGCAGGGCGGUGCAUCGCUGCUGACAGCGGGCCGCCAGGUCCUGGGCGGCGUGGCGUCCGGGUGAUCUGCAGCCGCGAACGCGGGUGUGCACUCUCCACAUGAUGGGCAGAGUGUCCGCGUGACUCGAACGCAUCCCACCCAUCCACCCCUCCCCGCCCCCGGCCCUCGCACGGCCCACUGGUGUGGGGAGGCCUGAGCCGCCCCGAGGAGAGGGGGUGGGGGUAGGCUGCACCAGGGGGUGGCAGCCGGCACAGCGGGGGAGCGGCUGUGAGGCGACCUGCGAGGCGGUGGGUGAGCGGGUAGAGCUGGAGGGCGGGGGCCGUGCCCCAUAUGACCGAGCCGGCGCAUCUGGUGCGAUGCGUGCGUGCAGCUCCUCCACACCGCAAGAUGAGCCUGAAGAGGGGGCGGGUUUAGUGGACUGGAACUCGUAUGGCAGAGAAUAGCCACGAUGAGAGAACGGACGUUUUCUAAACCUCUUUCUUUGGCAUCUGCGAGUCUCUCUCUAUCUCGGAGCGUGUCUGCGUCCGUCUCUUUCACGCCUUCUCUUCUUCCUCUUCGUCGCUUCCAAGGAAGCGACGUGUUUUCCUGCUCUUUGUUAUGGGGUCCUUGUACAAUGCUGGCUGUGUGUGUGUGUGUGUGUGUGCAUGCCGGUUCGCUUGCAACUCUCUUUGCUGCUGCGUGCGUCGAGCUCACUCAUGCGAUCGAGUCUGCGCCGCCCUUGUCCUCGGCUGAUCAGAACGCCCGACAACCUCUCUCAUUCAUGCUCGUUUACGGUGCGAAUGGAAACAGGGUCCAACGAAGGACGUUCUGCAUGCAUGUACUUUGUCAGUGUCCUCCCCGUCUCCGAACACACACACACACACACCUACCCGUCCUCUCUGCCCCCCUCCGAGCCCUCCACCCUUGCUACUAAGGCGGAGACAGAACGCGAGAGAGAGCAAUGAGGUGGUGUGACGCACGUGCGGGGUGUUGUGGCGAAGGAAGAGGGAGGGGCAUGUGGAGAUGACGCACACGUUAAAGGUGGUCUCUUUUCGUUUGCUUUGGCUUUUGGCUUCCUUCCUCCCGCGUUCGCCUGCUGAAGGCGAGGCAGUGUCCCCUCGAGCUUUCCCGAGGGGAGACACACCGGAAGCGGCAAUGGUGAGAAGAUAGCAAC